GGGGCUAUAGCUUAGUGGUCGAGUGCAUGUUUAACAUGCAUGAGGCCCUGGGUUUGAUCCCUAGCACCA
rnacentral:tRNA from 1 species